rnacentral:rRNA from 1 species
CGAACAGAGGGAGGCAAAGCCGCGAGGCAGAGCAAACCCCUAAAAGCCAUCCCAGUUCGGAUUGCAGGCUGCAACCCGCCUGUAUGAAGUUGGAAUCGCUAGUAAUCGCGGAUCAGCAUGCCGCGGUGAAUACGUUCCCGGGCCUUGUACACACCGCCCGUCACACCAUGAGAGUCGGGAACACCCGAAGUCCGUAGCCUAACCGCAAGGAGGGCGCGGCCGAAGGUGGGUUCGAUAAUUGGGGUGAAGUCGUAACAAGGUAUC